rnacentral:rRNA from 1 species
UUUAAAUUUAGAGUUUGAUCCUGGCUCAGGACGAACGCUGGCGGCGUGCUUAACACAUGCAAGUCGAGCGAUGAAGCUUCCUUCGGGAAGUGGAUUAGCGGCGGACGGGUGAGUAACACGUGGGUAACCUGCCUCAAAGUGGGGGAUAGCCUUCCGAAAGGAAGAUUAAUACCGCAUAAUAUAAGAGAAUCGCAUGAUUUUCUUAUCAAAGAUUUAUUGCUUUGAGAUGGACCCGCGGCGCAUUAGCUAGUUGGUAAGGUAACGGCUUACCAAGGCAACGAUGCGUAGC